rnacentral:lncRNA from 1 species
GAGUGCAUAUAUACCCAUAGUUGCCUGCUAAUAAACGAGACUUGAUCUUUGAUCACCUGUUUUGUUUCUAUUCUUCGUGUCUCUUACCCCUCAGCCCCCAUGCUCUCUUGCAGACCCUGUUGACUGACCCACGGACUGGGUCAAGGGACCUGAGCCUAAAUUGACACAGCUUGUUCUCUCUGUGAGUGACUCUUAAAAUUUUAACGGGCAUUGUACUGGUUAGUUUUUGCUAACUUGGUACAAGCUAGAGCUUUCUGGGAGAAGAGAAACAGCUGAGAAAAUGUCUCCACUAUACCGGCCUGUAGGGCAAUUUCGAUGAGUAAGGCAACUUCCGGGAUGGAGCAAGGACGACUGAAUUCGAGGAGUUUUAAGGAAUCCUACUUCAUUUAACAAGGACUCCUAUAUAAAUGAGUAGCUUCAGAAGGAACCAACAUGAGAGACCCGAACACUAAAUACUUAGAACCAGGGCUUUAAGGGUUUUUCUGUGUAGCCCUGGCUAUCCUGGCUCUGUACAUCACACUCGCCAUAAAUUUGGAGAUCUGCCUGCUUUUGCCUCCUGGAUGCUGCCAUUAAAGGCAUGUACCCCUACCACUUGGCUUACAAACCUUUUAAAAAUUACAAUGAUUACUGUAUGUUAAUUGUACAAAUUAAUGGGACUUCACCACAAUGUUUCCAUGCAUGCAUUCAUUGUGACCUGAUCCUGUUCCCCCCCAUUUCCAUGCUCUGUCCCCUUCCUCUUUCUACCUGCUUCCCCGAGCCUCUUUCCCUUCCCUAAAGGUCUUACAUUUUCAGGUUCCUUAAAAAAAAUGACCAUCAUAAACUGUUCUAAUUUUUGAACAGUUUCCUACACACAUAUAAUUUUAGUCAUUUUACCCCUCUCCACCUCCUUUACUCUUCACUCACACCCUUCCCAAUACCCCCCCC